CCUACGGGGGGCAGCAGUGGGGAAUAUUGCACAAUGGGCGCAAGCCUGAUGCAGCCAUGCCGCGUGUGUGAAGAAGGCCUUCGGGUUGUAAAGCACUUUCAGCGGGGAGGAAGGCGUUAAGGUUAAUAACCUUAGCGAUUGACGUUACCCGCAGAAGAAGCACCGGCUAACUCCGUGCCAGCAGCCGCGGUAAUACGGAGGGUGCAAGCGUUAAUCGGAAUUACUGGGCGUAAAGCGCACGCAGGCGGUCUGUCAAGUCGGAUGUGAAAUCCCCGGGCUCAACCUGGGAACUGCAUUCGAAACUGGCAGGCUAGAGUCUUGUAGAGGGGGGUAGAAUUCCAGGUGUAGCGGUGAAAUGCGUAGAGAUCUGGAGGAAUUCCGGUGGCGAAGGCGGCCCCCUGGACAAAGACUGACGCUCAGGUGCGAAAGCGUGGGGAGCAAACAGGAUUAGAUACCCGGGUAGUC
rnacentral:rRNA from 1 species